UACCAGGAUCAGAGACUUGAGAGUGGAGAUCUUCUCAGCUGGAGGAGCGUGGCCUCUGGCUGGAGACAGAGUUGUUGCAGUUGCUCAGAUCAUGGCUGAGAGUCAGAGCACCAUGGCUGGGGAAGUCUUGACUUCUCACUGUGCAGUAGAAGUCACAGACAGCUCCUGUCCAUGGACAGAGUUCCUGCUUUGCCCCGCGGCUUAGCAGCAAACUCUGGGAUCCUUGUUGAGCAGCUCUAGGCAAAAGAUUGCCCGUAGGCACAAGACUGCUCAUCUGCCAUGUCCAGAGACUCCUUCUUAUAGUGGUUCCAUCCUUUGAUGUCCAUUUGAGUCUUCUGGAUCACAAAAGGCGUUUAUUCCUGCUAUCCUCUGAAUAUUGUCUUUUAAUUACCAAAAAUCUCUCAGGAUAUUUGGUCAGUUCAGAGAGAUCUCAGUCUCAUCUUCUGUUAGCUGCUAUCUUGAGGAGGGGACAUAGCCCAAAGCGAAUCUGCAUCUCUGAGCAAAUGGGCCCCCAAAUGUGCUAGCCUGGUCCCAAAAGGUUUUAAAAGUCAGGAGUUAGUGAGAGAGUUAGUUCUAGUUGUGUGAGACAGCAAUUACAUUAUUUCUUGUUUACCUCUAUCUAGUGUGUAUUUAUAACAAAAGAAUAUUCAAAGUAACAUCAAAAAGGGGCACAUGUGUGAGGCGAGUUAAUCAACACAUUUGGACAUGGCAGAAGCAUCCUGUCAGUGAGGUCAAGAAGAGAUCCCAGAAGACGAGGAUGCAGGAGUCGUAAUUGCACAGAUUGCUUCAUCUACUCAUGGAGUGAUCACAUCUUCUGAAUGGAAAGCAGCCCUCAGUGUUGAUCAAGUGCUUACUGAACUUACAUAACUAAUGGAUGGCUACACAAAAACAAGGAAAAUCACCUUUUUAACUACUGAGAAGAUGCAAAGCUACCACCAAAUUUACACAAUGGCAACAACUGAUAGGGCUUUCCAUGCCAUCUCACCCUGAGGAUGCAGAGAUUUGUGAUCGGUAUACACAAACUUCCUCACUCACUGACAUGAAGGCUGACAAACAUCUUCCCAUCAUUUGGAAACCAUUUUGAGAAUGAGAUUACAACAUCUUUGCCUUUGCCCAAUUCAAGUGUGCAUUCAUAAAAGUGUCCUGUGCAGGCAUGUACUGAAACUAGGACAGACUGAAAAAGGUGUAUAAUACUGGCAACCGCCUCACCACCCUCUGCCAAAAAAACUGCACUCAGAUUCAUAACUAAAUGUAGAGGAGCAGCAAAACAUUGUGGGAGUGCCAGAAAAGAACAAAACAAAAGACACUGCUUUGGUCUCUAGCAUUUCCCAGCUGAAUUUGUAAGGACAGAAUGGGAAGGCUUUUAGCUACUCACACAGGACACAGGCCUGGUUCUCAGGCCCUUCUUCUCUAUGGUUUGCCUCCAUAGAAAACCUGACAAACCUGCAAGCCACUUGCUAGCUAACAGUGCAAACAAAGAGAUUUUGAAAUCCCAGGACCUUGUAUUUUAAAUUGUGUAUUGCUAUGCCUAAAAACUCUUCUUUUGGAAACUAAGAUUGAAUGGGUAAACUUUACUCUCUGUUUUAAGAAAGCUGACAGGAUCAAAAGUUCAUGGCUGCUGUUCUGCAGUUUCAGUUUGAGAGAUAACAGUGUGACAGUUGGGUUUUGGAGGGAAAGGGCGGUUUGAUUGUGUUGGUCAUGGUCUGAAAAAUAGAGGGAAUUUGAGUUAUGCUUAUUGAAUUGUUAAAAAAAAUGUUGGAGUUAUCUGUGUAUAUAAUUUAUAAUUUAUUUUAUUUAUUUAAAAUAUUUAUACCCCGCCCCUCCAGUGCACUACUGCUCGGGGUGGCUCACAACAAUAAGAUAGACAGAUAGAUAGAUUGCGACGUCUGCGCGCCCAGUACUUCCGGCCACUUCUGGGUGAAGAAGAAGAAGGGGUGGCAGGGAGGUAUGCUGCCGCCCUGAGGGAUUUUACAGAACUCCAGCGCUGGCAGGGGGAAAGCAGGGGGAGGGGUAAGUGCACCCUCCCCCACCCUUAAAAUCCUACCCCCCACCCCCGCUGAACAUUUGAACCAUCCAGUGAUCGAAUCUGUUUGGAGGCCCGUAAAAGGGCCUCCAAACAGAUUCGUGCACAUCUCUACCCCACGCCUAAAGCCUUUCCACUCUACUGAGGCUUUUUUUUUUUUUAAUGUGGUAUUACUACAAAGGUUGAAUGGCUGUUUUAGUAGGCGCAGCCAUAGAAAAGAAAAGUCUACUUGGUGGCAGUGGUAAAGCAUAGAUAUCACGGGACUGGUGGGACCUGUACUUCCUCCAUACGUAAUGUCACAGCAGUGGGACAAGUAGUUCUGCCACACUUUUGAAUUGCAUACAGAUGGAAACAAUGCAGUAAAGAUUUACUUUGUUUUCUGUCAUAUUACGAGCCAUCAGAGUAUAUAAUUAACCUCCUCUUAAGAAAGGAUGCAACAUUUGCCUAUAGCCACAUCAGGAAGCAAAUAAUCCUUCCCCCAUGUCAUUUCCACCCCACCCCACCCCACCCCACCCACCUUUUUAUAGAAGUUUGGUUGGGUAAUUCUUUUCUAAUUUGUACACUGCCUGCAUAUGCUAGGAUUGAUAUGGUCCUGUAGUGUUAUGGAUUCUAAGAUGUGAAUUAAUGUAUAUUUUGUC